rnacentral:rRNA from 1 species
CCUACGGGAGGCAGCAGUGGGGAAUAUUGGGCAAUGGGCGCAAGCCUGACCCAGCAACGCCGCGUGAAGGAAGAAGGCUUUCGGGUUGUAAACUUCUUUUAAGGGGGAAGAGCAGAAGACGGUACCCCUUGAAUAAGCCACGGCUAACUACGUGCCAGCAGCCGCGGUAAUACGUAGGUGGCAAGCGUUGUCCGGAUUUACUGGGUGUAAAGGGCGUGCAGCCGGAGAGACAAGUCAGAUGUGAACUCCACGGGCGCAACCCGUGAACUGCAUUUGGAACUGUUUCCCUUGAGUGUCGGAGAGGUAAUCGGAAGUCCUUGUGUAGCGGUGAAAUGCGUAGAUAUAAGGAAGAACACCAGUGGCGAAGGCGGAUUACUGGACGAUAACUGACGGUGAGGCGCGAAAGCGUGGGGAGCAAACAGGAUUAGAUACCCGUGUAGUC